UACGAGGGGGGCGAGCGUUGUUCGGAAUUAUUGGGCGUAAAGGGUGCGUAGGCGGUUUGGUAAGUCUUGUGUAAAAUCUUCGGGCUCAACUCCGAAACUGCAUUCGAUACUGCCGUGCUUGAGGACUGGAGAGGAGACUGGAAUUUACGGUGUAGCGGUGAAAUGCGUAGAUAUCGUAAGGAAGACCAGUGGCGAAGGCGGGUCUCUGGACAGUUCCUGACGCUGAGGCACGAAGGCCAGGGGAGCAAACGGG
rnacentral:rRNA from 1 species